GAUGAACGCUAGCGGCAGGCUUAACACAUGCAAGUCGAGGGGCAACACGGGUAGCAAUACCUGGUGGCGACCGGCGCAAGGGUGCGUAACGCGUGAGCAACAUGCCCUAUACAGGGGGGAUAAUCCAGGGAAACUUGGUCUAAUAUCCCAUAGUAUUUAGAGGUGGCAUCACCACUAAAUUAAAGCUUCGGUAGUAUAGGAUUGGCUCGCGUGACAUUAGCUGGAUGGUGGGGUAACGGCUCACCAUGGCGAUGAUGUCUAGGGGUUCUGAGAGGAAGACCCCCCCACACUGGGACUGAGACACGGCCCAGACUCCUACGGGAGGCAGCAGUGAGGAAUAUUGGACAAUGGAUGGAAAUCUGAUCCAGCCAUGCCGCGUGCAGGAAGAAGGCCUUCGGGUUGUAAACUGCUUUUGUACGGAACGAAACGGCUCUCUCUAAUACAGGGGCUAAUGACGGUACCGUAAGAAUAAGCACCGGCUAACUACGUGCCAGCACCGC
rnacentral:rRNA from 1 species